CUCCCUUCGGGGAAGCCACUUUUAACAUGGAUUAUGUCCCGUGACGAUUAGUAAGGGGCCAAGUGAGGUCUGGACGCCCCGGCCCCAGAAAAUGCUUCAAAUGAAAAGGAAGUCUUCCAUUGUCAGAAAAUGAUGAAUAAAAAAGGAAAAAUCAAGUUCUGGAGCAUUGUGAGGGUUACUCCGAGCUGUAGGAUAUCCAUUUUGCAAACCACUAGUGCAUCAAACACUAUGUUCACACCCUGUGAGAACAGACAAAAAAGGGAACAUGAACAGUGAACUUGAACAACAACUGCAAGAGAUAGAAAAUA